GACGAACGCUGGCGGCGUGCCUAAUACAUGCAAGUCGAACGCAGUGGGGACGGGUGAGUAACACGUGGGUAACCUCCCAUCAGAGGGGAUAACACUUGGAAACAGGUGCUAAACCGAUACUGAUGGAUGGACCCGCGGUGCAUUAGCUAGUUGGUGGGGUAACGGCUCACCAAGGCCGAGAUGCAUAACCUACCUGGGAGGGUUAUCGGCCACACGUGGACCGGAACCCGGCCCAGACUCCUUCGGGAGGCAGGAGUAGGGGAUCUUCGGCAAAUGGGGGAACCCUGACCGAGCAACGCCGCGGGAGUGAAGAAGGUUUUCGGAUCGUAAAGCUCUGUUGUUAAGGAAGCGGUACUUAACCAGAAAGGGACGGCUAACUACGUGCCAGCAGCCGCGGUAAUAC
rnacentral:rRNA from 1 species